UACAUAGCCGACCUGAGAGGGUGAUCGACCACACUGGGACUGAGACACGGCCCAGACUCCUACGGGAGGCAGCAGUAGGGAAUCUUCGGCAAUGGGGGCAACCCUGACCGAGCAACGCCGCGUGAGUGAAGAAGGUUUUCGGAUCGUAAAGCUCUGUUGUUAGAGAAGAAUGAUGGUGGGAGUGGCAAAUCCACCAAGUGACGGUAACUAACCAGAAAGGGACGGCUAACUACGUGCCAGCAGCCGCGGUCAUACGUAGGUCCCGAGCGUUGUCCGGAUUUAUUGGGCGUAAAGCGAGCGCAGGCGGUUUUUUAAGUCUGAAGUUAAAGGCAUUGGCUCAACCAAUGUACGCUUUGGAAACUGGAGAACUUGAGUGCAGAAGGGGAGAGUGGAAUUCCAUGUGUAGCGGUGAAAUGCGUAGAUAUAUGGAGGAACACCGGUGGCGAAAGCGGCUCUCUGGUCUGUA
rnacentral:rRNA from 1 species